UGAUAAAAUAAGAGAAAAGGAAACAUGGCAGAAUGUGUCUUUUCUUAAUGUCCAACUCCAAGAAGCAGUAGGACAGCGUUAUCCUGAAGAUAGUUCACGUCUAUCUAUAUCUUUUGAAAAUGUUGACACAGCUAAGAAGAAGCUGCCUGUUCAUAUCUUAGAUGGUCUGACCCUCAGCUACAAGGUCCCAUGGCCCGUGGACAUUGUUAUAAGUUUGGAAUGUCAAAAAAUUUAUAAUCAAGUGUUUCUUCUCUUAUUGCAAAUAAAGUGGGCAAAAUAUAGUCUGGAUGUUUUACUUUUUGGUGGUAAGAUUUGUUUUCAGCAGAUAAAUUGUAAUUUUAUUUAAUUUUAGCCCUUAAUAAAAGAGGUUAAUGGGAAAGGGAAGCAUACGGGGAUCUGGAAAAAAAAAAAAAGUUGGUGGUUGUUGAUCAUUUUUUAUGUGUACACAAAUGCCAAAAUGGUGCGUAUUCUAGCAGUAGUUUUAUGGACAUCAAAUGCCUGAAAGAAAGAUCAGGAAGUUGUAUGUACAGUUGAUCUGAAAUGCAACAACUUGAUUAG
rnacentral:lncRNA from 1 species